rnacentral:sRNA from 1 species
UAGGCUCCUUAAGGGUGGUCUGGCUCACUCCAUUCCAUAUGGAAGGGGGUGAGGCUGAUGUCAGUAUACCAUGCAUUAUCACUAAUGCUCACAUUUGGUGUAUUGAUCAUAAUGCUACUAGAUAAAAGGAAAUAGACCACCCUUAUGACCCACAAGUUAUAGGGUGGUCUAUUCCAUAGACCUAUUAGAGCCUGCCACUCUUAUAUGAGGGCGACUGUUGUACCGACCAUAGGUGCGUCAACAC